UUUUAUCUGACAAGCGCAUCGCGACUGACGCAUCAGUUUCAUUCUGUCUGUAAACAACAAACAGCCGACACACGGACUGUAGUUAUUAUGCCUAAAUUAAACUGUAUGACUGCAUUAAUACUGGAGCACAUCAUCCUCUGAUUUCAAAUCAGCAGCUGUUAAAGAGGUUUAGUCCAGCAUGUUGGUGACGGUGACAGAGGUGGCACGGUUUUCUCAUUAUGGCAAUACCAGUGUAUUUCCCACUGCGGACAACAGAUCUGAAAUUAUUCCAGAUCAUGAAACCAACAUCACUAAACCACACAAAUGUCUGCAGAUCCUGUACGAGGACAUUGGGGACUCUAGGGUUCGUUUCUGGGAUCUGAUGCUGCUCAUCCCAAAUGUGGCUUUCCUAAUAUUCCUUAUGUGGAAGCUUCCUUCUGCUCGUGCGAAGAUCCGUCUCACCUCCAGCCCUAUAUUCGUAGCAUUCUAUAUACUGGUGUUUGUAGUGGCGGCUGUCGGCAUCACUCGCGCUAUAGUGUCCAUGACUGUCAGCACAUCCAGUGCUGCUACACUUAUAGAUAAGGUGCUUUGGGAAAUCUCAAGGUUCUUUUUAUUGGCUAUUGAGCUCAGUGUCAUCAUACUGGGAUUGGCUUUCGGUCAUCUGGAGAGUAAGUCCAGUAUCAAGCGAGUGUUGGCCAUCACUGCAGUUCUGUCUCUAGCGUACUCCAUCACACAGGGAACUCUGGAGAUUCGUUACCCAGAUAAACACCUCUCGGCCAAAGACUUCAACAUCUACGGACAUGGUGGGCGGCACUUCUGGUUGGCCAGUUCCUGCUUCUUUUUCCUGGUGUAUUUCCUGAUAGUCAUUCUACCCAAAACUCCAAUCAGAGAGAGAAUCUCAUUACCAUCCAAGAGGAGUUUUUAUGUGUACGCUGCGAUCCUGUCUGUGUUGAAUCUGGUUCAGGGUUUGGGCAGUGCUCUGCUGUGUGCUGACAUAAUUGAAGGCCUGUGCUGUGUGGACGUGACCACAUUCCUGUACUUCUCAGUCUUUGCUCCUCUGAUCUAUGUGACGUUCCUCAAAGGAUUCUUUGGUUCUGAGCCAAAGAUCCUCUUCUCCUACAAGUCGCAGAUUGAUGAACCAGAUGACUCUGACGUUCACCUGCCCAACACCUCAUCCUCCGGUCUGGGCAGGAAGGAGCUCAAUCAAGGCUCGUACUCCAGCACGCAGAUCGACGGUUCUGGAGCGUAUCUGGAUGAUGUGGUGUCUGGACCAUACGGCGCAGGAAACAGCAUCAACAGUGACCGAUGGAGAGCUCUCAAUGCCUGAGACACACAGAGAGAACAUUUUAAAAAUGAUCUCCACACAGGAAGAGUUUGACAUGCCGUGGAUUUGAAUUCACUUUGACAUCUACUGCCUCAAAAAGUUGUCAGUUGAUGUUCUUCAAUGGAUGCAGCAGCCUGGACCAUCUCCAGAGAAACCAGCAUCGCUUAAAUUAGAGUCCAAAACCAGACCCAGGAACUCCAAGACCAUCUGCUGCUGAAAUGUAAGAAGAACUUAGAAGACGAAAUCCACAGAGCUAAAAGAGCCUGAAAUUGAAGAAUCAGCCACAUAUAGAUUAGAGUGUAAACAGCAUCUGGUCCAGGAGAUGAUCUGAAUCCAGUAGUGCUCGGAGAGAGAGAAACAAAACACACCAAGAACUUGAGACCUACACUCUCAAACUGCUUAUAUACUAAAGCUGGUUGGUUUGGUUCAUGGCGUACAACUCUUUUAAGGUAAUAAUUCUGCUGCAUUCAUUUACCAUUGACAUCUGUUUGUGGAUUUUUAUAACGAUUUCCCCCCCACCCAACCUUCUCACUGUGCAAGUUAUUUGAUUUUUAAUUUUGAAUGAAAAAGUCUGAACAGUUUCUGUUAAUCAUUUAAUGCUAUUCAUCUGUUACGGGGCUCUUCAGUGGGUGCAUCGGCCAUAAAAAAAAAAAAAAAGAAAAAUGAAAAAUUUCAGAUUUUAAAUCAUCAGGCAAUUGCUUUUGAUUUUAGUGCGGCAUUCGACAUCAUAGAUCAUGACAUUCUCUUGAAUAGGCUAGAGAAUUAUGUUGGAAUUUGUGAACUUGCAUUAGCAUGGUUUAGGUCCUAUUUAGCAGACUGCUACUACUUUGUGUAACUGAGAAAUUGUCAAAUCAAACAAAAGUUAAGUAUGGAGUGCCACAGGGAUCAGUUUUAGGGCCUCUGCUUUUCUCCUUAUAUAUGCUUUCCAUGGGAGAUAUUAUCAGGAAUCGUGGAAUAAGUUUCCACUGUUAUGCCGAUGAUACCCAACUUUAUAUUUCUUCUAAAUCUGACAAACUUUCACAAUUCUCCAGAUUAGCAGUGUAUAUAAAUGAAAUCAAAGAUCGGAUGGCCAGAAAUGUCCUUCUAAUCAAUUCCGUCAAAACAGAGGUACUAAUUAUUGGACCAAAAAUCUAAAAAAAUAAGCAGCUGAAAUAUAAUUUGACUCUCGAUGGAUGUACUGUUACAUCGUCUUCUACACUGAAGAACUUAGGAGUUAUUUGAUACCAAACUGUCCUUUGAAAAUCAAAUUACCAGUUUUUUGCAUUCUUCCACCUCAGAAAUAUUGCCAAGUUACAACACAUGCUCUCGUUUGCUGAUGCCGAAAAACUAAUUCAUGCGUUAAUGACCUCAAGACUAGAUUAUUGUAAUGCAUUACUGGGAGGAUGUCCUGCAAGUUCAAUAAAUAAACUUCAAUUGGUUCAAAAUGCAGCUGCCAGAGUGCUGACUAGAACCAAGAAAUGUGAUCAUAUUAGCCCCAUUUUAUCAUCAUUACAUUGGCUACCUGUUAAAUUUCGUAUCAAUUUUAAAAUCUUGUUAACUACGUACAAAGCUUUGAAUGGUCUAGCUCCGCAGUACUUAAGUGACCUUCUACCAUGCUAUAUUCCAUCACGUUCAUUAUGCAAAAUUCUGGCCUGUUACUAGUUCCUAGAAUAUCAAAAUCCACAAAAGGAGGUAGAUAAUUUUCCUAUUUGGCUCCUAAACUAUGGAAUAGUCUCCCGAACACUGUUCGGGUUGCAGACACACUCACUCAGUUUAAGUCUAGACUAAAGACUCAUCUAUUUAGCCAGGCAUACACAUUUAUCCAUCAACUCACAAUUAGGCUGCUUUAGUUAGGUCUGCCAGAACCAGAAACAUUUAUCAUGCUCUGUAACGCUUUAUAAUUUAAUGGCAUCUACACUAAUAUUAUUCCAUUUGUUUCCCUGUCUCAACCUUGGGAUUCAUAUCCUGAGGUUACCAGAGCUGGCCAGAUCCAGCUCCGUUCCUGCUUGAUGUCGGACUCCACUGCUAUGUGUUUCUGAGUGAUAAUGACUAAAUGCAGCUGGUGCCAGCCAGACGUCACUUCAGUCUAUUACGAUGGACUUCAGGGGAUGAUCUGAUGCCAACUCCAACCAUAAGACAUGGGAUACUUCAUAUGCCAUUGCCUGAACCUUGGACUUAUGAUAGACCUCACCGAAAUGACCUGCUGGUUGAACUGCGAUGCACCUCACUGAUCUCUGCCUGCAUCACCUUAGUCUAAUGAUGGACUACACUCUUAAAAUGGAAUGCAUAGACUUUAAAUUAUUUUCCAACAAAAGCCUUCAUCGGCCAACUAACAAAGGACAAUGCAUCUAUGUGAACUUCUGCAGUUAAUCCAGGCUGAACUUCAAAGGCAUUAGACAUUAAUCUUAUUGUUCAUACAAAAUCUUUGUAUAAGGGGCCUGGGUAGCUCAGAGUAUUGACGCUGACUACCACCCCUGGAGUCACGAGUUCCAAUCCAAGGUGUGCUGAAUGAUUCUAGCCAGGUCUCCUAUGCAACCAAAUUGGCCUGGUUGCUAGGGAGGGUAGAGUCACAUGGGGUAACCUCCUCGUGGUCACUAUAAUGUGUGGUUCUCGCUCUUGGUGGGGCAUGUGGUGAGUUGUGCGUGGAUGCCGUGGAGAAUAGCGUGGGCCUCCACCCACGCUACGUCUCCGCGGUAACGUGCUCAACAAGCCACAUGAUAAAAUGCGUGGAUUGACGUUCACAGAUGUGGAGGCAACUGAGAUUCGUCCUCCGCCACCCAGAAUGUGGUGAGUUACUAUGCCACCACGAGGCCUUAGAGCACAUUGGGAAUUGGGCAUUCCAAACUGAAAAAAAGAAAAGGAAAAAAAAAAAAUAAAUAAAUAAAUAAAUAAAUAAAAUAAAAAAAUAUAUAUAUAUAUAUAUAGUAUAAACACUGGCCCUUAACACUUACUUAGUUUACUAAUUUUAAACCAUGACCUGCACUGCACAUAAAUAAUAUUGACAUUAUAGUCAUGCUGGUUAGCCAGAGGGGAAUUGGCCCCCAGAGUGAGCCUGGUUUCUCCCAAGAUUAUUUUUCUCCAUUAACCAACAUCUUAUGGAGUUUUGUGUUCCUUGCCACAGUCGCCUUCGGCUUGCUCACUGGGGUUCUAAAUACAAUUAUUAUUUAAUCAUUUAUUUUUAUAGACAAUUUACAAUCAUAUUUAAUCAAACUACACAAUGAUGACUCGAAAACUUUAUAGAUAUUACGAUUUUCUGUUAAUUCAUGAUUUUCUGUAAAGCUGCUUUGAAAUGAUGCAUGUUGUGAAAAGCGCAAUACAAAUAAAAAUGACUUGACAAAACGUAAACUGUCAGGAGCACUUGCACACAUUGGAUGAGCCAGUAAGAACACUGUAAAGGUGUUUACAUGCAAUGCCAAAUUUGGGGUAAUGGACAAAAAUCAACUUGUGCCGAUCGUUUUUUGCUUAAACCAUUUAUAACCUUAUACCCUGAUUAAGACAAACAGUUUAAGACGUUUACAUGAUCAGUACAAGAUCACGCAUGUAAACACAUUUGAUGAACUAUAGAAGUACUUCUGGCCAAAUCAUCCAAGCAAUAAAACUAAAUUUUUUAUGACUGUCUACGCCUUGUUUUAUAUGGAAAUUACAGCAAAACAGCAUAUAAUUAAUUCAAACAAAAACUUCAACACUUUAUGUACAAGUUGAACAUAGGCCCAUUAUUUACUUAUUCUCUCC